rnacentral:lncRNA from 1 species
CUACAGUCCCGUCAUAGAAACAGAGGAUCGAUGCUGGGGCACGAGAUGGAAAGCCCAAUUACUCCCUCCCUGCGGACGACCACCUGAGCAGACAUUUCCCUUCAGCCCCAGCAGCAGUUCCGCGUGAGAGACCCCUCCUGUCAGCCCUCACCUGCGUCAGGACAAAAGCUCUGAGGCAGCAUCUUUAUCUUCACUCAGAGAAAGACGAAUGGGACUCCAGAGUCACGACCAACUGCUCUAGGGACACCCAGCUGAAGGCCAGCCUCACUCAGUCCCCAAUGGCCAGAGCUCCGUGCGACCUAGCCAGUCCUUGGGGAGGAACUAAAAGGGUAUGACAAAGAUAGAAGGAAAAGAACGUGAAUGGAAGGCGAAAAGAGAGAUAAAGGACAGUAGGGAAAGGAGGAGGAGGAGGAGGAAAGAGAAACAGAGCGACUAAACUGAGUGACAUAACUGAAUGGUGGAGGGAGAAGGAAGGACUCCGGCAACAGGACCUUCAGACAAAGCAUGGCGGGGCUGAGGCCAGCAUGGUAAGCACCCCCUCAGCCUGCCUUCUGCCCGCCCCCCAUGCAGAGAACUUUCUUCAAACGUUGACAUAGCUGUUUAUUAUUCCCUCAAGAAACUGUCCUCAGAGAUUUGGAUUUGCUUUGCUUAUGCUUGUCCCCAGACAGUGAAGAAGGAGAUUUCAAAUCUCGGACCCUAGCAGAAGCGCUCGAGGAAGGUGGGGACCUGUCCACCUCUUCCCAGUGUGGGUCCUGCUUGCCUUCCAGCGAUGGUCCAAUCAAAGCAGGUGAGUUGAACCUCUUGGAUUAAAAAGACAGUUUUCUCUCAUGUAGCAACAGCCAUCUCUGACACUUUCCUGACAGACCUUCCCAGGUUACUCAUCUAUGCUCAUGUGGGAAGACUUGAAACUUUUUCCGUCAACAAAUCUUGGAAGGAGAGAUAUCUGGGCAAGGAAAGUUGACGGGUGGUUUACAGAAUAAUAAUACUAACACACAAGCCACGGGGCUGUGGGAC